CCUACGGGCGGCAGCAGUGGGGAAUAUUGGACAAUGGGGGGACCCCUGAUCCAGCGACGCCGCGUGAGUGAAGAAGUAUUUCGGUAUGUAAAGCUCUAUCAGCAGGGAAGAAAGAAAUGACGGUACCUGACUAAGAAGCCCCGGCUAACUACGUGCCAGCAGCCGCGGUAAUACGUAGGGGGCAAGCGUUAUCCGGAUUUCCUGGGUGUAAAGGGGGCGUAGACGGCGAUGCAAGUCUGAAGUGAAAGGCGGGGGCCCAACCCCCGGACUGCUGUGGAAACUGGAUGGCUGGAGUGCAGGAGAGGUAAGUGGAAUUCCUAGUGUAGCGGUGAAAUGCGUAGAUAUUAGGAGGAACACCAGUGGCGAAGGCGGCUUACUGGACUGUAACUGACGUUGAGGCUCGAAAGCGUGGGGAGCAAACAGGAUUAGAUACCCGGGUAGUC
rnacentral:rRNA from 1 species